rnacentral:rRNA from 1 species
GACGAACGCUGGCGGCGUGCCUAAUACAUGCAAGUCGAGCGGACUGAAUGGGAGCUUGCUCUUGUUCGGUCAGCGGCGGACGGGUGAGUAACACGUGGGCAACCUGCCCGCAAGACCGGGAUAACUCCGGGAAACCGGAGCUAAUACCGGAUAACACCGAAGACCGCAUGGUCUUUGGUUGAAAGGCGGCGCAAGCUGCCACUUGCGGAUGGGCCCGCGGCGCAUUAGUUAGUUGGUGAGGUAACGGCUCACCAAGGCGACGAUGCGUAGCCGGCCUGAGAGGGUGAACGGCCACACUGGGACUGAGGCACGGCCCAGACUCCUACGGGAGGCAGCAGUAGGGAAUCUUCCGCAAUGGGCGAAAGCCUGACGGAGCGACGCCGGGUGAGGGAAGAAGGCCUUCGGGUCGUAAAGCUCUGUUGUGAGGGACGAAGGAGCGCCGUUUGAAGAAGGCGGCGCGGUGACGGUACCUCACGAGGAAGCCCCGGCUAACUACGUG